rnacentral:rRNA from 1 species
UGCCAGCCGCCGCGGUAAUACGGAGGGUGCAAGCGUUAUUCGGAUUCACUGGGCGUAAAGCGCACGCAGGCGGUUUGGUAAGUCUGAUGUGAAAGCCCUGGGCUCAACCCAGGAAGUGCAUUGGAUACUGCCUUACUAGAGUACUGGAGAGGAGAGCGGAAUUCCUGGUGUAGAGGUGAAAUUCGUAGAUAUCAGGAGGAACACCGGCGGCGAAGGCGGCUCUCUGGACAGUUACUGACGCUCAGGUGCGAAAGCGUGGGGAGCAAACAGGAUUAGAUA